GGCCAUGUCGCAUAGGAGAUAUACUUGCCAACAAAAACGUCACACGGGAGUUAUUUUGGUCAACUAUGUUGCAUAAUUUCCAAUUCGCAUAAAAAACGUCGCACAAGAGCUAUUGACCCCUUCUCCCCUCGUCUCAUUCACAUCCCCUGUCUUUGCUCUCUCUCCUUCUCAUAGAAAAUGGCACCGGUCUCUUCUCCCUCUCUCAUGUCCGUGGUGCAUGCCCAUAUCAUACAACUCCCGGUGACCUAAUGCGAGCCCUUCCUACUUCAAUUUUUUCUAGAUCAGAGAGGGGUGUUGCAAGGGAAGGCCGUGGGCUUCUUGUAACCCAGGGAAGCCAUGGCCGUCCAUCUCCUCGUCUUUGCUCCUUGGUGAGGUUAGAUGCUUUGCAACACGGGAGGCUGGAGAUGGCGGCCACCGGUGCUUCAACCGUUGGAUGAAGGUGCUGGAACCGAUCAGCAGAGGUGCUACGAUGGCAUGACAGAGAUGCUACAA
rnacentral:lncRNA from 1 species